AAACCAGCACCUCAAGUGGUCAGGAGGAUUAUUGGGCCUAAAGCAUCCGUAGCCUGUUCUAUAAGUUUCCGGUUAAAUCCAUUAGCUCAACUAAUGGGCUGCCGAAAAUACUGUAGAACUAGGGAGUGGGAGAGGUAGACGGUAUUCGGUAGGAAGGGGUAAAAUCCUUUGAUCUAUUGAGGACCACCUGUGGCGAAGGCGGUCUACCAGAACACGUUCGACGGUGAGGGAUGAAAGCUGGGGGAACAAACCGGAUUAGAUACCCGAGUAGUCC
rnacentral:rRNA from 1 species